UACGGAGGGUGCAAGCGUUAAUCGGAAUUACUGGGCGUAAAGCGCGCGUAGGUGGCUUGAUAAGCCGGUUGUGAAAGCCCCGGGCUCAACCUGGGAACGGCAUCCGGAACUGUCAGGCUAGAGUGCAGGAGAGGAAGGUAGAAUUCCCGGUGUAGCGGUGAAAUGCGUAGAGAUCGGGAGGAAUACCAGUGGCGAAGGCGGCCUUCUGGACUGACACUGACACUGAGGUGCGAAAGCGUGGGGAGCAAACAGG
rnacentral:rRNA from 1 species